rnacentral:sRNA from 1 species
UGUUGUCUGGUUUUAUCUAUCGUCUCUGUAUUCAGUGAGUCAAGAUCU